rnacentral:rRNA from 1 species
GACAGAGGAUGCAAGCGUUAUCCGGAAUGAUUGGGCGUAAAGCGUCUGUAGGUGGCUUUUCAAGUCCGCCGUCAAAUCCCAGGGCUCAACCCUGGACAGGCGGUGGAAACUACCAAGCUGGAGUACGGUAGGGGCAGAGGGAAUUUCCGGUGGAGCGGUGAAAUGCAUUGAGAUCGGAAGGAACACCUGUGGCGAAAGCGGCUCACUGGACCAUUACUGACGCUGAGGCACGAAAGCUAGGGGAGCAAACAGG